UCUGGGGGAACAGUACUUCCAAGUUUUCCUCUCUUUUCCAUGUGUGGGUGUGUGAAUAAUGUAUUCAUAGGCUUUUGUACCUGCCACCUGUCCUGUAUUUCAAUGGCACACUUUGUCUGGUAGGACUGCUUUGCCUGGGACAGUGUAUCAGUGUAUAUAGUCCUUUCACAAGCACCAGAGACUGAAAAAAGCACAGCACCAGGCACUCUCUGGAUGGCAAGGACAGUAGCCACUGCCACAACAGCACAAAGUGGGGGCAUCGUUGCAGGUAUUCAACAAACUGGCCCCAAAUGGUGUCUGAGGCCAUCCAGGAUGUUACAAGUUCAAGGCAAAGGCUCGAAGUUAUAAGGUGAACCACAGGCAUGCCAAAAAGGAAGUACAGAAGUUAUGUUCCCUAUUGUCUUCCAUCCUCUUCUGUCUUCAGACUGUAAGUGCUUCAGGACAUAACUGUACAUAUGCACGUUGUCAGAUAAAAGCAGCAGAGGCAGGCAAAAAUUAUGGUGUGGAUGAAAAUAGUUGAUCAAAAUGGUUCAACAAAUACACUUACAAAUGUAUCUUUAUCUUCAAAUUAUUCAUAAAAUGUCUGGCAAGGAGCUCCGAGUUCCUUUCAGGAGGUUUUGUAACCAAAAUUUACCUUGAGAGCUGGAAAUGUGUGUCAAGAGGAAGAGAUGUAGGAGGAGCAUGGCAGCAGCCCAAGGGUUAAGACAGCUGCAAAAAAAAUCCAGGAAGAUGGUAACACAGCAAACACCUACUCAGCAGAGUUAAUGCCAAAGAUCAAGUUAUGGCAUGUAGCUGGUAAUAUUGCUGAGGUCAAGAGGCUGCAAACUCCUUCAUGAUGGUUAUCUCUAUCUUUCAGCUUCCUAUAUUUUGACUUUACACUCCAUUUUUCUUCCACCAGGCCUCAUGGUAAGUGCCUAGUUGAUGGCUAUUCUGCUUAGCCUUUAAGAAAUAAGGGUAAGCCCCAGCCAGCAUUUCUGUGGUUUCUGUUUCCUGUGUCAGCAAAUAACUCUGAGUACAAAUGCAUUCCGGAAAAUCAGGGCCUGUUCAUGGACAAUUUGUGAACAUAAGAAGACUCAAAAAAUUCAAUUAAUAGCUGACUUGGUAUGAAUUAUUAUCUCCACCUCUUCUGUUUGCUGCUCAGCAACUGUGUGUGGCCAGUUAAGCCAACGCACGCCCCCAAAAACAUGAGACGCAUGCAUCACUUCUGACCUUGUUCUUCCUAUGACCUUAUAGCACUGGCUUGCAGAAAGAAUAUGUGUAUACAAAUACCCUGGCGUCACUUCAAGAGCGGUUCAGUAAGUAGUUCACAACUGCUGACCAUCUGGCUGUUAGAUCUAAGAGGGAUCUA
rnacentral:lncRNA from 1 species